rnacentral:rRNA from 1 species
CCUACGGGGGACAGCAGUGGGGAAUAUUGCACAAUGGGGGAAACCCUGAUGCAGCGACGCCGCGUGAGUGAAGAAGGAUCUCGGUACGUAAAGCUCUAUCAGCAGGGAAGAAAAUUACGGUACCUGACUAAGAAGCCACGGCUAACUACGUGCCAGCAGCCGCGGUAAUACGUAGGGGGCAAGCGUUAUCCGGAUUUACUGGGUGUAAAGGGAGCGUAGACGGCAGCACAAGUCUGGAGUGAAGUCCCGGGGCUUAACCCCGGAACUGCUUUUGAAACUGUGCGGCUGGAGUGCAGGAGGGGUAAGCGGAAUUCCUAGUGUAGCGGUGAAAUGCGUAGAUAUUGCGCAGAACUCCGAUUGCGAAGGCAGCAUACCGGAGGCGAUCUGACGCUGAGGCACGAAAGCGUGGGUAUCGAACAGGAUUAGAUACCCUUGUAGUC